AUUGAACGCUGGCGGCAUGCUUUACACAUGCAAGUCGAACGGUAACAGGGUGCUUGCACCGCUGACGAGUGGCGAACGGGUGAGUAAUGCGUCGGAACGUGCCGAGUAGUGGGGGAUAACGCAGCGAAAGUUGUGCUAAUACCGCAUACGUACUGAGGUAGAAAGUGGGGGACCUUCGGGCCUCACGCUAUUCGAGCGGCCGACGUCUGCUUAGGUAGUAGGUGGGGUAAAGGCUCACCUAGGCGACGAUCAGUAGCGGGUCUGAGAGUGAUGAUCCGCCACACUGGGACUGAGACACGGCCCAGACUCCUACGGGAGGCAGCAGUGGGGAAUUUUGGACAAUGGGCGAAAGCCUGAUCCAGCCAUGCCGCGUGUCUGAAGAAGGCCUUCGGGUUGUAAAGGACUUUUGUCAGGGAGGAAAUCCCUAGUGCUAAUAACACUGGGGGAUGACAGUACCUGAAGAAUAAGCACCGGCUAACUACGUGCCAGCAGCCGCCGUAACAC
rnacentral:rRNA from 1 species